UCUUAAAAAAAACAACAACACAAAACAAAAAAAAAAAUUACAGAGUCAGGGUUGGACUCUUACAUUUCAUUGAAAAUCCUUAAAUAACAAAUUAUGUCAAUAUAGAUUUAAAUGCUUAUGUGUGUUACCUGGAUACUGCACGAAGGAUUUUACAUACGUUUUUCUCAAUCCCCAACCCCAAUAACGUAUAGAUACUACUAUAAAUUCAUUUUACAGAGGAACAAAAACCAAAGCUUAAAAGAAAAAAGAAAAAGAAAAACCAAGGCUUUAAGUUAAAUGAAUUAGAAUACUAUAAGAUUCACUUGAAUCAUGAGUAACUUAUGACCAACUUAAUCCCUUUCAAGUCCUCUGAAUGUUUUUGGAAAUAGCCUUUAAAAAAAUUAAAAGCUCCAAAGACUAUACAAAAAUUAUUUAUACAUUACUGCCCACGGCCUAAUACACAGAGUACUUCACACUAAUACAGCAGUAGGGUGCAACAGAGGUCCAAUCUCUUCCCUUCUCUUGGCUCCACUCUGCCCAGUAUCAAAAUGGCAUUUCCAUGGCAAUACAAAUCCAUAUUACAUAACCUCCGAAAAAUCUUCAUAGUCCUACGUCUAUUCCGGAAAACCGUAUUUAAAAGCAGGAUUGACGACCAAAGAAAAAUGAGAAAGUAACAUUUUAAUGUGGAGCUUAGUAAUCGCCUAGAAUGAAUGGCGAUAUACAGUUUACUGCACCCUCCAAUGCGCAAAAGAGGCAGGAUGGCAAAAUUCAUGACUAUCUUAAGCAAGCCAGGAGACUGCUAAAAAGCUGAGGCACCCGGUCUCCCGGUUUCCACACGCGUUCAGAGACACAAACUCACCCGCCGCUGAGGAAACGGUACUGCCUUCGCGACCUUCUGGGAUCCAGGUUACGAGUGCGCUCCACUGGUUCGAGAUUUCUGCCCGUCGCUCGCCAGGGAGACUGAGUGCCCAAGCGCCUACUCGCACAGGCCGCAAAUACAGCCGCGCUGCGCGGCGAGCUGAUGGAGGUCUUCCUCUUGCCCGGCGUGCACUGCGGCCGGGGGCGGGGAGCGCGGAACCAUAGAGAAGAACGUAUAUAGAUCGUCUCCGCUGUUGGCUCUGACUCACCAAGCCGAGACGAAUAACCAUAGAGAAGCAGCGUCUAGCGGUUACUAGAAAGGCCCGAACUGUAAAUUAUGACCCACCAUGUUUGAUUGGAGCCGACUGAAUCUUACGACUACGGGACGCCAUCUUGAGGUCAAGGUUCCGGCUGGGCACGGCGCGAGGAGUGUUAGAGGCUUUCUCACUUUUCGUAGUUUUUCGGGGGGUGGAACCUUGCUUUGUGAUUCCUUGAGGUUCGAGGAACUGAUAACUGGGCGCGAUCUGCAACCUUAGUGUUAAACCCCAAGUGCUGUUAUAACAACUACUCGAGAUCAACAAAUAAUUGGCAAAGGCUGUGGAGGUUUUUUGAAAAGCAAAAGCUUAUGCGUAGUUGUAGGGCCAAAGAGGUGGCUAGAAGAUGUUUGGAAAAACGUGAAAAGUCCUGUAAUACUAGUUAACACAGCUUUCGUUCUGUAAUCUAAACGUGCUAAAAGAACUUAGCUUAAGUUAAUGGAAAUGAAUAAAAUUAAUCAUAAAUGA
rnacentral:lncRNA from 1 species